GUGAGGAAUUUUCCGCAAUGGGCGAAAGCCUGACGGAGCAAUGCCGCGUGAAGGAUGAAGGCCUAUGGGUUGUAAACUUCUUUUCUCAGAAAAGAAUUAUGACGGUAUCUGAGGAAUAAGCAUCGGCUAACUCUGUGCCAGCAGCCGCGGUAAGACAGAGGAUGCAAGCGUUAUCCGGAAUGAUUGGGCGUAAAGCGUCUGUAGGUUGUUUAAAAAGUAUUCUGUCAAAGAUUAGGGCUUAACCCUAGAUAGGCAGAAUAAACUUUUAAGCUAGAGUUUGGUAGAGGCAGAGGGAAUUCCCGGUGGAGCGGUGAAAUGCGUAGAUAUCGGGAGGAACACCAAAGGCGAAGGCACUCUGCUGGGCCAAUACUAACACUGAGAGACGAAAGCGAGGCGAGCAAAUGGGAUUAGAAACCCGGGUAGUCC
rnacentral:rRNA from 1 species